rnacentral:rRNA from 1 species
AACGUAGGACGCAAGCGUUAUCCGGAAUUACUGGGCGUAAAGCGCGCGCAGGCGGGAGGUCAAGUCACCCGUGAAAGCGCCUGGCUAAACUGGGCGAGGUCGGGUGAGACUGACGUUCUUGAGGGUGGUAGAGGCGUGUGGAAUUCCGCGUGUAGUGGUGAAAUGCGUAGAGAUGCGGAGGAACACCAGUGGCGAAGGCGGCACGCUGGGCCACACCUGACGCUGAGGCGCGAAAGCAUGGGGAGCGAACGGG